GACGAACGCUGGCGGCGUGCUUAACACAUGCAAGUCGAACGGAAAGGCCCUGCUUUUGUGGGGUGCUCGAGUGGCGAACGGGUGAGUAACACGUGAGUAACCUGCCCUUGACUUUGGGAUAACUUCAGGAAACUGGGGCUGAUACCGGAUAGGAGCUCCUGCUGCAUGGUGGGGGUUGGAAAGUUUCGGCGGUUGGGGAUGGACUCGCGGCUUAUCAGCUUGUUGGUGGGGUAGUGGCUUACCAAGGCUUUGACGGGUAGCCGGCCUGAGAGGGUGACCGGCCACAUUGGGACUGAGAUACGGCCCAGACUCCUACGGGAGGCAGCAGUGGGGAAUAUUGCACAAUGGGCGGAAGCCUGAUGCAGCAACGCCGCGUGCGGGAUGACGGCCUUCGGGUUGUAAACCGCUUCCGCCUGUGACGAAGCGUGAGUGACGGUAAUGGGUAAAGAAGCACCGGCUAACUACGUG
rnacentral:rRNA from 1 species